UACAGAGGGUGCAAGCGUUAUUCGGAAUUAUUGGGCAUAAAGCGCAUGUAGGUGGUUUAGUAAGUCUGAUGUGAAAUCCCCGGACUCAAUCCGGGAAGUGCAUUGGAUACUACUAGACUAGAGUAUGGGAGAGGUGAGCGGAAUUCCAGGUGUAGAGGUGAAAUUCGUAGAUAUCUGGAGGAACAACAGAGGCGAAGGCGGCUCACUGGACCAUUACUGACACUGAGAUGCGAAAGCGUGGGGAGCAAACAGG
rnacentral:rRNA from 1 species